AAAACAGACAACUACCUGAGUCUCGGCUCAUUGCUCUCUGGGGAAUUCGCUCAUUCCUUCGGAAACGGAAUUGGUCUGAAUUGCUCCGGGAUGAAGUAACCCAGGCUGGUGAUCCAGAGGGCCGCUGAGCGCCCCGCCGGCCAACGGGGCUGUGGGCCCAGCACUCAGCCUGUACUGGGCACCCAACAUAUUCCCGGAGUUCUGGGUCCUGUUGGUUCUGGAGGCAUAAGACAUUUUUUGUCUCUGCCUUCUGUUCUCUGUUUCUUGCUCCUUUUGUCUCUCCGUCCAUCCUUCCAUCUGUUCUACCCUCCCUCCCCUGGCUUUUUCCUCCCUUUCUCCCUCCCUCCCUCUUUCUCUCCCUUCCGGGGUCCCUCCUUCCACCCAUCCUUGCCUAGCUCCAUCCUUCCAUCUCACUCUGUCUCUGUUCCUGUCCUCAUCUCUGCCUGCCUUCCCUCUUGCCUGGAAAGGGCAGCACCCUGGUUUGCGCGAGGUCUCGGGUCUUUAUUUAGUUGUAAGGCGCUCUAUGGUGCUGGCGAGGAGGCUGGCGGGACACGGGUUGGCAAGUGAUGGUGAGCGAAGAGGCGGAGGAGUUGAGCCACAGAAAGGAGAACUGGCCUGGAUUCUGCCCCGGCCCAGUGUUUCGCGGACUGAGGUCUCCGCCAACCCGAUUGAAGAACGCGGGGGGGAAAGGGAGGAGAGCUCCGCCUGGGCUAGUUAGAAGACUAGGCUGCUGCCUGGAAACCCGCGCAUGCGCAGUAGACAGCCCACCUCCCUGUACCUGGACCGGCCCUGGGAUCCCCGGGAUGCUCAGGAAUGCUUUCUUUUCAUUGUUGACAGCCCUACUCUGUGUGGAGUCUCUCGCUGGACCUGGAACUCAGGGAUCCUAGGGAGGUCAGCUGGAAGGGAAGACACGCCUCUCCAUACCAAGCCUGAGGUUCACUGCAAAAGAGAGGCCGCCGCCCUGCCCCCACCCUGCCCCCACCCUGCCCCAAACCCGCCCCAACCUGCUCCUCCAGCAGAGCCCUGUGUUCUUCCUGUCUGAGGAGUGGUUCCAGCAAAGCGGGCUCUUCCACGUCCUUCAGCUCCCCCAGUGGCGCCGGAUCUAGGAAAGGUUGUGCCUUUUGCUGAAACUCUGGGGUUGACAGGAGCUCAUCUAACAGGCUGGAGGUGAGUGCAGACGAGAGCCCCGGCUCCUGGAGCGGUUGGGAGGUGCCCGGUUGGCUGGCAUCUGCGCUUGACGCGGAGGCCUCCGGGGUCACGAGCUCGGGAGGUGAAGGUGCCCCGUCUUCGGGUUCCCAUGCCGCCCUGGCGACCUGGGGCUCCAGCCCCACCACGGACUCCGGUGGGACGUGGGUGGUGCAAGCACACCUUUCCCCUGUGACUCAGCUUGAGGGGCCCCAAGCUGUCCCACUGAGCACGCGCCCAGCAGGCCGUCGCGCUGUGGGUUCUGGUCUUCCUGUCAUUUGUUGGGGUUCGGAGGCCACCAGGGAGUCUGAGGAUGGGAGAGCCCCAGUUUCGGAGGGAGGGGCCAGGACAGUGAACACAAAGCCCCGCAUGCUCGGGCAGGUUGGGAGAGUCCUUCUGCCUGUGCAGCCUGGCUGGGCUGGAGCAGGGGGAUGACCCUUGCUUCCUGGCUCACGAAAGCCCCCUGUGGGAGAGCCCCAGGAGCGCAGGGCAUGUGGGGUGCAGGAAGCGACGUUCCCCACGCCCCGGUGUAGGUGAACCCGAUAGAGGAGGGAGGAGGGUGACACCCACCAGGGGUGCUAAUUAGUAACCACAGUGGCCUCAAAGAACUCAAAUGAAAGGAAGACUUGCAAGUCUCUCACUUUAAGUCCAGAGCUAGAAAUGAUUAAGCUUAGUGAAGAUGUAGAAUUUUCAUAGCUAGAGAGAAGUCAACACUUGGCUUCAGAACUUCAAAGGAUGGGCUGACUCUCUUUGAGGACCACUGCAGCUGGUGACUUUAGGUUACAGCCAGUGCUCAUUGACCACUCUGAAAAUCUCAGGGCCCUUAAGAAUUAUGCAAAAUCUAUUCUUUCUGUGCUCUAGAAAUGGAACAUCACUGUCUGGGUGACAGCACAUCUGUUAAUAGCAUGGUUUACUGAAUAUUUUAAUCCCACUAUUGAGACCUACUGCUCAGAAAAAAAAAAAAAACGAUUCUUUUAAAAAGAUUGUUGGUUGGCCAGGCAUAGUGGCUCAUACUUGUAAUCCCUGCACUUUGGGAGGCUGAGGAUCACCUGAGGUCAGGAGUUCAAGACCAGCCUGGCCAAAAUGAUGAAACCCCAUCUCUAAUAAAAAUACAAAAAAAAUUAGCCAGGCAUGGUGGUAGUACCUGUAAUUUCAGCUACUCGGGAGGCUGAGGCAGAAGAAUGGCUUGAACCCUGGAGGCAGAGGUUGCAGUGAGCCGAGACCGCACCACUGUACUCCAGCCUGGGCAACAAGAGUGAAACUACGUCAAAAAAAAAAAAAAAAAAAAAAAAAAAAAAAAAAAAAAAGAAAAAGAAAAGAAAGAAAAGAAAGAAAAAGAAAAAAUCAAAGGAAAGAAAAGGAAAAAAGAAAAAAAGAUUGCUGCUUAUUGACAAUUCACCUAGCUCCCCAGAAGCUUAGAUGGAGAUGUACUUGGAAAUUAAUGUUAUUUUCAUGGCUGCUAGUACAAUAUUUACCUUCAGCCUGUGGAUCAAGGAGUGGUUUUGACUUUCAAGUGUUUUUAUUAAUUAAUAAUUGCAUUUUGUAAAGGUAUAGCUGUCAUAGAUAGUGAUUUCUUUGAUGAAUCUGGAUAAACUGAAUUGAAAACCUUUUGGAAAGGAUUCACCAUUAAUCCUUUCAUGAUAUUUGAACCUCCUCCCGUGAAUCACAAAUGUCCUUAAUAGCAAUCCUUAAAUGCCAUUAAGGACAUUUGUGAUUGAUGGGAGGAGGAUGAAAUAUUAACAUUAACAGGAGUUUGGAAGAAGUUGAUUCCAGCCCUCAUGGAUGACUUUGAGGGCUCAGGAUGUCAGUGGAGGAAGUCCCUGCAGAUGUGGUAGAAAUCACAAGACAACUAGAAUUAGAAUUAGGGCCUUAAGGUGAGAUGAAAUUGCUGUAAACUCAUGAUGAAACUUGAACAAAUAGGGAGUUGCUUCUUAUGGACGAGCAAAGAAAAUAUUUUCUUGAGAUGGAAUAUAAUCCAGGUGGAGAUGCUAUCAACAUUGUUGAAAUGACAACAAAGGAUUUAGAAUAUUCCAUAAACCUAGUUGAUAAAGCAGCAGCAGGGUUUGAGAGGGUUUACUCCAAUUUUGAAAGAAGUUCUACUGUUGAUAAAAUGCUGUCAAACAGCAUCACAUGCUACAGGGAAAUCUUUUGUGAAAGGAACAAACUUCAUUGUUUUAAAAAAUUGACACAGGUUUCCAACCUUCAGCAGCCCCCACGCUGAUUAGCCAGCAGUCAUCAAUAUAGAGGCAAGACUCUCACCAGCAAAAAGAUUAUGACGUGGUAAGUCUCAGAUAUUCAUUAGCAUUUUUUAGCUCUGACGUAUUUUAACUUAAGGUAUGUACACAGUUUUUUAGACAUGCUAUUAAUUAAUAACUAAUAAUUAUUAAAUACUCAUUAGACUACAAUAUAGUUUAAGCAUAACUUUUAUAAGCACCGGGAAAUAAAAUGUUUAUGCAACUAACUUGAUUGUAACAUUUGCCUUAUUGAAGUGUUCUGGAACAAAACUUACACUAUCUCUGAGGUGUGCUUGUAGGUUUUUGUUUGUAACAUUUGCCUUACUGCAGUUGUCUGGAACCAAACCCACAAUAUCUCUGAGUAUGCUUCUAGGUUUUUGGUUGUUCUUUGUUUUGAGAUGGGGUUUCGCUCUGUCGCCUAGGCCAGAGUGCAGUGGCAUGAUCAUAGCUCACUGCAGCCUCAAACUGCUGGGUCAAGUGAUUUUUCUACCACAGCCUCCUGAGUAGCUUGGACUACAGGCAUGCAGCACUAUGCCUAGCUAUUUUUUUUUAAAUACUUUUUUUGUAGAGACGGGAUCUCACUAUGUUGCCCACCUGGUCUUGAACUCUGGGGCUCAGGCAAUCCAGCCACUUCAGCCUCCCAAAAUGCAGACAUUACAGGCUUGAGCAACUGCACCCAGCUUGUCUGCAGUUCUUAAAACAAAACGGCCAGGUGCGGUGUGUGACGCCUGUAAUCCCAGCACUUUGGGAGGCCAAGGCGGGUGAAUCACAAGGUCAGGAGUUCAAGACCAGCCUGGCCAAGAUGGUGAACGCAGUCUCUACUAAAAAUACAAAAAUUAGCCAGGCACAGUGGCGGGCACCUGUAGUUCCAGCUACUCGGGAGGCCGAGGCAGGAGACUCGCUUGAACCCGGGAGGCGGAGGUUGCAGUAAGCCGAGAUCGUGCCACUGCACUCCUGCCUUGCGACAGAGCAAGACUCCAUCAAAAAAAAAUGUAAUUUAAAAGAUUAAAAGUUAAGAUAGAUUUUUACAAAUGUAUAUAUCUACCAUUAUAGUAUCAUACAGAAUGGUUUUACUGCCGUGAAGAUUCUCUGUGCUCUGUGUAUCCAUCUCUUCCUUCCCCUUGGUCCAUGGCAACCACUGAUCUUUCUACUGAUCCCAUAGUUUCACCGUUUCCAGAACGUCAUAUAAUUGGAAUCGAACAGUACGUAGACUUUUCGGAUUGGCUUCUUCUUUUAGCAAUAUGCAUUUAAGUUUCCUCCAUGUAUUUUUUUGUGGCUUGAUAGUUCAUCUCCUGUUAGCAGUGAAUAAUAUCCCGUUGCCAUUAUACUUUUGUCAAGACUCAGAACGUACAACGUGAAGAGUAAACGUGAAUGUGCACUGUAAGCUUUGAGUGAUAAUGAAGGAUCAAGGUAGGUUCCUGGUUGUCACAGGUGUGCUCCUGUGAGGCAGGAAGCUGUAGUGGGGAGGCUGUGUGUGGGGAAAGGGACAUAUGAGAAGUCUGUACUCUCUGCUACGUUUAGCUGUGAACCUGCACUUCUCUAAAAAAUAAAAUUAGUUAAAAUUAAAAGCAAAAAAUUAGAAAAAUUAAAACAUUACAAUGUGUUAUAUAGUUUUCAAAUCACAAGACAGAAAAAGACAUAAUAAAAGAAACUAUAGAAAACAACAAGGAUAGGAAUAAAACAUCAGUGAUAGAAGGCAGAAGACAGAAAUGUGGAGCCAAACACAUUAAUUUAUUUUAAUCAUUAGUUAUACUCAUUUAUACUAAUUUAUAUUGAUUUAACAUAUUAAUUCUGACUAAAUGGCAUUAAAGGAGGUCUGAGGAAUUUGCAUGUCACAUUCUGGAUGACAGGACUCAAUAAUAUUAACUCUUUAGUUGGCUGUAAAUCAUUUAAAAAUAUGCUCAAAUUCCAAUAAAAAUUCCAAGAAAAAUAUUUUCGAACAAGAACAUGUGAUUUUAAAUCCAUAUAUUGAACACACACAUACAAUGAGAGCCAUUAUUAUAAAAUUUACUAUAAGAUAUUUAAGAUUAUUAUCACUAUCCAAAAUUAAACAAAUUUGAAAUGGCACAAAAAUAAACACAUUAAUGAAAGAGAAUUAAAAACACAGAAAUUGAGUGUAAUUUUAUCUAGUAACAGGGUAACAUUUUAAACCCACAAAACAGAGCGAUUGUUCCAUUUGUGGUAUUAAAAUAUUGGGUAAUGAUUUCAGAAUAUAAAAUGACAGAAUUGAAUCAUGGUCCUACACCUUACAUAAAAGUUAAUUCCAGUAUUAAAUGUAAAAAAAAAAGAGAGAGAAAAAAGAAAAUUAGAUGUGUGUGUUUUAUGACCUUGAGAAUGAAUGUCUUCUAAAACCAAAAUUUCAAACAGAAACCAUAUAAAAAGGAAUAAACCUAACGUACCUAAUAUGUAAAUUCUUAAACAUUUUAACACCAGGUAAAUAGCACAAAACAAACUGGGGAAACUUUUACAGCAAUUAUGUUACAUGAAAGUUAAAAUCCUUAUGACAUAUACAAUGUAUAAAACAAUAUGAUUACUGCUAUUAUUAAUAGCAUUAUGAUUACCUGGUCUUCCCACGCACCAGUCCUCUUCUGGUGCCCUGUGGUGAAACAGAGCCCUCCCUCUCUGGCCACAGUGAGGGAUCCAGCAGGAACCCGUGCCUAAACCCACAGAGGGUGUGAGCCAAGCCAGGACAUCACAUUCCCUCCUGCGAAAUGAUGCAGAUACCCACUCACGACAGAGAUUUGGUCCCUCUCUGGAAAAGCUGUGUAACAAUUAUUGCAGAAACUUGUUUCUUAUGUUCCCAGACACAUGGAGAAAGCUGGUCUGGAAGACUGAUGUCCACAUGCUAAAAGCAGUCACUCAUAACACACACACUGCACACACCACACCAUGUGCACAUGCACACACACCCCACACACAGACACCACACAAACAGCACACACACCAUGUGCGCAUGCACACACACACCCCAUACCCACUGCCCACACCCCACAAACACACCUACUGCACACACACCAUGUGCACAUGCAUACACCCCAUACAGACACCACACACAGACACCACACUGCACCCACACCAUGUAUACAUGCACACACCCCACACACUGUACACACACGAUGUGCACACAUGCAUACCUCUGACACCACACACACUGUGUACACAUCAUGUGCACACACACCCCCCCACAGACAUCACACACACCACACAGUACAUGUACCCGUGCACAUACCCCCACACCACACACGAAUCUACUACACAUACAUCACACACAUACAGCACCACACACAUCACACACCCCAUACAUACUCCCCACACACACCACACACCCCACACAUACUCCCCACACACUGCACACGUACAUACAGUGCCACACACAUAGAGCAAACACAUACCUCACAUACAUACACCACACCACACACACAUUCUACAAACACAUCAAGCACACAUCAAACACUACACACACUGCACACACACAGCAUCAUACACACACAAAACACACACAUCACAUACACCACACACAUAUCACAUGCACACAUCACAUAUAGUACACAUACACACCAAACACACAUACACCACAAACACAGCACAUAUACACACCAUGCACCACCCACAUACUACACACAGUAUACACACAUAACACCCACAAUACACUCCACACACACAUAUACAUACCCCGUGUACCUACUACACACACAGACCACACACACAUAUCAUGCAUACACCUGCACACACCUCACAGAAUACAUACAAUCCUCACUUUUAGAAAUUAAUUUGGCUUUUAAGGAGCCUGGAUAGUAAAGUAUUUUAUUGGCGUUUGAGUGAGCCAAGAAAAUGCGUAUAAAUACACAUGCAUAACUAUGAGGGCCCAAGCAGCACUUUCGAAAUCACAACAUGAGAUUAAACCGUGUAAAUUUUUUAUUGUUUUUAAAAAGUCAACUCUUUCUCAUUUUACUAGAAACUAUUUACCAGAGUAAACUAAUGAGAUUCUUCCUGAGGUCAAAAGACUUUCUGGAAAAACUUCUCCUUGAUGAAAU
rnacentral:lncRNA from 1 species